rnacentral:rRNA from 1 species
AUGAAGUCAAUCGUGUUUUCUGCCGUUGCUGUUUCUAUUGGUUAUGUAUUACUUGGAUGGGAUUUUACAAGAGUUUUAGAGGCUAAUCUACAUAUGAAGGAAUUUGACUUAGAGAAUGGACCUUUAAUCGAGGGAAUAAUUGUAGCAGUUUCAAUUUUUGGGGCCAUUGUGAUUACAAUAUUCUCUGGAUCACUAUUGGAUUGGCUUGGGAGACGCGUUGUGUUGAUUCACUCAUCUCUGCUAUUAUUUUCCGGUGGCGUCCUUAUGUUGUGGUCUCCUAAUAUCUACAUUCUACUCAUAGCUAGGAUAAUUGUUGGAUCAGGAAGUGGCUUGGUUUUCACCUGUGUCCCAAUUUAUAUCUCAGAAACAUCUUCUCCAUAUAUGCCGGGAUCACUGGAAACUAUGCCACAGUUCAUGUUCAUUGUUGGAAUAAUCUUUUCCUAUUGCAUGAUAUUUUGGAUGACACUGGUGUCUUCUCGUAACUGGAGAUGUAUGAUUGGCUCAAUCUUUGCACCUUCAACUCUCUACUUUGCUUUAUUGGUGUUCUACUUGCCAGAGUCGCCUAGGUGGCUUGUAAGCGAUGGAAAACUUGGCCAGGCCAGAGUUUCUUUACAGUGGCUUAGAGGGAAGGAUGAUGUUUCAGAUAGACCUGCAGGUGAAAUAGCUCUUAUUGCGGAUGGUAUGAACAUUAUACCGGGCAUGGACAUUGGAAGACAUGCUAUCAGCAAUGCUCAAGGUCAAAGUUUUCUUCCAACUAGUACCGGCCAGCUUUCACGUUAUAGUAGCUGGUAUUGGCACCUUUCAGAUCCACUAGUUGAUCUUCUCGGAAGCAUCCAUGAGAAUAUGUCAGAAGCAGUAGGUGUGCGAAACAAUUUCUUCCCUGCCUUCAGCAGUUUCAAUUUUAUGGAAGAUGAACGGGUGAAUGGGCAUGUGGGGGAGGAUGUCAGUGCUCAACAGAUUAGGGAGGCUCGUCCUACUAACGAAGGCAAUAAUGGAGAUGGUUUACAGGCUUAUCUGCUUUCUCAGGCGGCAACUGCGGAAGGAUAUGAUACAAAUGCACCGUUUACAUCCGAAGGGAGUUCUUCAUAUUUAAGAAGGCAUGGCACAACAGGACUUGUGCAAGAUUUUAUGGCUUCUUUAGAUGAUCAUGAGAUUGAAGAAGAGGAGGAAGAAGAAGGAUCCAUGAAGUAG